UGAAAGUCUGAGACCAGCCUGGGC
rnacentral:piRNA from 1 species